UACGUAGGGUGCGAGCGUUAAUCGGAAUUACUGGGCGUAAAGCGUGCGCAGGUGGUUGUGUAAGCCAGAUGUGAAAUCCCCGGGCUUAACCUGGGAAUGGCAUUUGGGACUGCAAGGCUCGAGUGCGGCAGAGGAGACUGGAAUUCCUGGUGUAGCAGUGAAAUGCGUAGAUAUCAGGAGGAACACCGAUGGCGAAGGCAGGUCUCUGGGCUGACACUGACGCUCAUGCACGAAAGCGUGGGGAGCAAACAGG
rnacentral:rRNA from 1 species